rnacentral:rRNA from 1 species
UACGUAGGGGGCUAGCGUUGUCCGGAAUCAUUGGGCGUAAAGCGCGUGUAGGCGGCUCGAUAAGUCUGCUGUGAAAGCCCAGGGCUCAACCCUGGAAUGCCGGUGGAUACUGUCGAGCUAGAGUCCGGAAGAGGCGAGUGGAAUUCCUGGUGUAGCGGUGAAAUGCGCAGAUAUCAGGAGGAACACCAAUGGCGAAGGCAGCUCGCUGGGACGGUACUGACGCUGAGGCGCGAAAGCGUGGGGAGCAAACGGG